rnacentral:rRNA from 1 species
AGAGUUUGAUCCUGGCUCAGAAUGAACGUUGGCGGCGUGGAUUAGGCAUGCAAGUCGAACGAAUCCCCGCAAGGGGGGAAGUGGCGAAAGGGGCAGUAAGGCGUGGACAACCUGCCCCCGGCUCCAGGAUAGCCUUCCUAACGGAAGGGUAAUACUGGGUACGCUCCCGUGAAGACAUCUUCGUGGGAGGAUAGCUCCGGCGGCCGGGGAGGGAUUCACGUGAUAUUAGCUAGUUGGUGGGGUAACGGCCCACCAAGGCUAUGAUCGGUAGGGGAACUAAGAGGUUUAUCCCCCACACUGGUACUGAGAUACGGACCAGACUCCUACGGGAGGCAGCAGCAAGGGAUUUUCCCCAAUGGGCGCAAGCCUGAGGGAGCAACGCCGCGUGGGGGACGACGGCCUUCGGGUUGUAAACCCCUUUUGCGGGGGACGAUACUGACGGUACCCCGCGAAGAAGCCUCGGCUAACUCCGUGCCAGCCGCCGCGGUAAUAC